rnacentral:rRNA from 1 species
ACGGGAGGCAGCAGUGGGGAAUAUUGCACAAUGGGCGAAAGCCUGAUGCAGCGACGCCGCGUGAGUGAUGAAGUAUUUCGGUAUGUAAAGCUCUAUCAGCAGGGAAGAAAAAUGACGGUACCUGACUAAGAAGCACCGGCUAAAUACGUGCCAGCAGCCGCGGUAAUACGUAUGGUGCAAGCGUUAUCCGGAUUUACUGGGUGUAAAGGGAGCGCAGGCGGUCGUACAAGUCUGAUGUGAAAACCCAGGGCUCAACCCUGGGAUUGCAUUGGAAACUGUAUGACUAGAGUGUCGGAGGGGUAAGUGGAAUUCCUAGUGUAGCGGUGAAAUGCGUAGAUAUUAGGAGGAACACCAGUGGCGAAGGCGGCUUACUGGACGAUAACUGACGCUGAGGCUCGAAAGCGUGGGGAGCAAACAGGAUUAGAUACCCUGGUA